CAAGGGAGAAACGAAACAUGUUAAUACAAAAAAAUGUGAGGUCCUAUCAGACACUAGAGAACUGCGUAUUUUAUCUUCGUGCUAAUUAAUUAAAAUGUAAAUUACAUUUGUAAAUGUGUAAAUACUUGGUGUAUGGCUUGUGUAAAGUUUGUUCAGUGUUUCAAUGUCCUAAAAUCAAUGCAUUAGUGUAGAAUAUGUGUUAAAAAGUGGUCAGGCAAUGUACGAACUGAAUACGACUGUCUGUGAUAGUAAUUCAACGAUAACUUAGAAAACAACAACGAUAAACGAAUUAUUUUUAUACAAUAAAAUCAGACAUGAUAGUUCGCUCGACGACACUGUCAUUGUGCAUGUAGACUAGACAUGGGACAACAAACAUCUAGAAAGAGCGCCGAAUGUUCGGCGUGCGGAUGCGGCGCGUGGGAGCGCCGGCGCUUCGCUGAGUCGCCGAGCAGCGUACACAGAUACGUUAGCGCUGUCACUGACAGAUGGAGCGGGCGCGAGUGCUCGUGCCGCCGCCGGCGCUGGCGCAGGCCGGCGUGCGUGUGCACCGCCUACCGCCGCGUCAGCGACGCCUGCCGCGACGACAGAUUGGCCGCGGUGCUUACACUCGGAGCUAGGGAGCUGAGGCGCGAAUUAGACGCAAUUGUCAUAAACUCAGAUGGUGACUCUUCAAGAGACAGCGGUGAACAGACAGCGGAAGUUUACGUACUCUCCGUAGCGCCCAGGACCCCAGACGGUGAAAUAACGCCGGACGGUAUAAACGAAUUGUCUCAGCCCAACGACGCUAUACGGUUGCAUCCGCAUUUUCAGGUGGUGUGCGGCGGCUCGCUGCGCGCGCUGCUGCUGCGCGCGCCGGCUGCGCACGCGCCGCCCGCGCGCGUGCACACGCAGGUGGAUUACAUACACUGUUUAGUUCCCGACUUGCAACAGAUAACCGCGUGCUCAUACUAUUGGGGCAAAAUGGACCGCUACGAAGCCGAGAGAUUGUUGGAUAAUAAACCUGAAGGCACGUUCCUCCUCCGCGACUCCGCCCAGGAGGAGCACCUGUUCUCCGUGUCGUUCCGCAAGUACUCGCGCUCGCUGCACGCGCGCAUCGAGCACUACCAGCACCGGUUCAGCUUCGACUCGCACGACCCCGGCGUGUACGCCGCGCCCACCGUCACCGACCUCAUCGAGCACUACAAGGUACUGCUCCUGGGCGACCCGAGCGGUGCUCGUCACCGACCGCAUCGAGCACUACCAGCACCGGUUCAGCUUCGACUCGCACGACCCCGGCGUGUACGCCGCGCCCACCGUCACCGACCUCAUCGAGCACUACAAGGUACUGCUCCUGGGCGACCCGAGCGGUGCUCGUCACCGACCGCAUCGAGCACUACCAGCACCGGUUCAGCUUCGACUCGCACGACCCCGGCGUGUACGCCGCGCCCACCGUCACCGACCUCAUCGAGCACUACAAGGAUCCAGCUUGCGUGAUGUUCUUCGAGCCGAUGCUGACCGCUCCGUUGCCCAGAAGCGAGCCAUUCACACUUCAGCAGCUGAGCAGAGCCGUGAUCGUGUCCCACACUACGUACGAUGGCGUGGAACAGCUUCCGCUUCCGGCGCGUUUGAGGGCUUACCUCAAGGAGUACCACUACCGGCAGAGAGUGAGGGUUCGCCGGCUGGAAGCCGACAUAUACCGGUGCUGAGCCGGGCACCGAACCUUGGACCGCUGCGUUCCGGACGGCGUCGUGACACAUGGUUGAUGUAAAAAAAAUAAUUAAUUAUAGAUUAAUACUAAUUUUGUUAUGUAGUGUGGUGGUGCUUAUAGAAAAAGGAAUGGGACCACUAAGUCUCUUUCCCGUGAAUGUCGUAAAAGGCGACUAAGGGAUAGAACAGAAUAGAUUUAUUUUCAAAAUUGGAUACAAGUAUCACUUAUUCACAUCACUUAAAUCUAAUUAUAACUACUACCGCUUCCAAAGCGCAUGUGUAGAAGAAGCGGCGGAACAAACUACACUGCACUGCAGCGAUAGGCUUAUAUACUUGGGUUUACUCUUUUGGGCUUUGGGCCUAGCGACCUGUCACUAUUUUUAAUCUCAAUUCUAUCAUUGAGCCAAACAGCUGACCGUGGCCUUUCUGUUUUUACAAGACUGAUAUCUCUGUCUACCCCGCGAGGUAUAAAGACAUGACUGAUAUGUAUGUAUGUAAAUAAAAUGAUGAUACAUAUAUAUGUAUAAAGUCACGCCUCUUUCCCGGAGGGGUGGGCAGAGACUACAUAUUUUUUCCACUUGAAAUAAAACUAUAGUUAUGUCUUAAAAAUUGUAUGAGUCUCAAUGUGAACCAUUAUACAUUUAUAAUACUGUAGAAAGUAUAGUUUGCAAAGUUAGUUAUUCCUACAGAAGAUAGAAGGAGAAAAGAGAAGAGAAAUAAUCAGUUUAAAAGUACUAUACAUAUUAUUAAAACAUACAUACAUACAUAUAAUCACGUCUAUAUCCCUUGCGGGGUAGACAGAGCCAACUGUCUUGUAAAGACUGAUAGGCCACGUUCAGCUAUUUGGCUUUAAGAUAGAAUUGAGUUUUAAAUAGUGACAGGUCGCUAGCCCAUCGGCUAAAAGAAGAACCCCAAGUUUAUAAGCCUAUCCCUUAGUCGCCUUUUACGACAUCCAUGUGAGAGAGAUGGAGUGGUCUUAUUAUUUUUUCUAUUGGUGCCUGGAACCACACGGCACGUUUAUUAAAAUAAAAUGAAAAAAUGUAUUUUACAAUAAAUACAAUCUCUGACAUUAUUUUGUAACUAACAAUACCAUGGCAACCGUUGCUAUGGCCUACGUAUUAGAAGGUUGCCUACAAUACUAAAAAGUAUAUAAUUAAAUACUAUUAUCAUUAAAGAUCGGAAUAGGUAGAUUGAAUUGGGGUCAAUGAACUGAAACGUAUAUAUUAAUAUGGACAUGCCUCCGGGAUUGCGGGAUUUGUAAAUUAUUAAGAUUUUUUCCGGAAUUUUUACAAGUGUGAUGAAGAAUAUAUUAGUGGUAGCUGUCUUCCCCCGACUUCGUUCACGUAAAUUGUAGUCCUAUGUUACCCGCGGACAAUGAAGUUUACUGUAAGUGUAAGUACUAAAAUAGAAUCCCGGAAAAGAGUCUUAUCCAUGCUAUGCUUUCUAUGGUAAUUCAUGAUGCAAGUAUAUAAAAUCAAUCUACCUAUUCUGAUCUAUGUUUAUCAUAUAAAUGCAAAAGUAUAUACAUAUAUGCCAUAUUUGUGUGUCACUAAGUUGUUGGUACAAGGUUCUUUUUUUGGCAACACAGAUUUGUAAUCACGUUUUUACGGGAUAGACAGAGCCUUGAAAAACUGAUAGGCCACGUUCAGCCGUUUGGCUUAAUGAUAGAAUUGAGAUUCAAAUAGUAACAGCGGUUGCUAGCCCAUCGCCUAAAAGAGUAAACCCGAGUUUAUUAGCCGUUCCCUUAGUCGACUUUUACACAACAACAGAGAUUCAGUGAAUAAUUUCUAUUGCAUUAUUGAGAGUUUCGCUCCGGAAAAAGGCGUGACGCGAUAAUGACGUGUAUGUAAACGCCAUCUUUUUAGUUUGGAUGUAUAGAAGUUAUUGCUUAAGAUACGGACUGCUACAGAGCUUAAAAAAAAAUUUGGGGGGGAAAUUUGUAUAUAACAAUUAAAUAUAAAUAUCGUAUAUAAUACGAGGUCUGUGCAAAAGUAGAAAUAUUUUAAGGGUGAGGGACAAUAUCGUGAGAAAACCUGCACAUUCAGGCAACUGGAUGUGUGACCAUGAUGGAUACAAUACGGGUUAGGUUCCCCUGCAAAGGUUGCGGAGGUCAGACGGGAGUCGCUUCGUGUGAAAACCUGACUCACCCAAUCCAGGGUCCAUGGUCAAAGGCGUACCCCGGGCUCCUCUCCAGAGUGGUGAGGAUGCGACCGGGACUAAAGCCGGGAGGUACGGAAGUCGCUUCGUGUAAUAAUGGCGCGUAAUUAUUUAACCUUUACAACCAAUCAGAGAGCGUUAUUCGAAUCCGCGAACUCAACUGUCCGUUAUUGUGUUACUGUUAGGGAGCGUUCAAGAACUAAGUAACGCAAAUUUUGAAGAUUUUUAGAAUAGAAUAGAUUUAUUUUAAAAAUUGGAUACAAGGUAUCACUUAUUGACGUCACAUCGCUUAAAUAUAAUUAUAACUAGUACCGCUUACAGAGCGCAUGUGUAGAAGAGGCGGCGGAACAAACUACACUGCACGACCCCCCUUCCCCCACCCCUUGUACGCACCGUAACGUUUUUCUGUUAUUCCGGGAGGGGGGCCUCCCCCAAAUUGCGUUACGUAAUACUUGAACGCCCCCUUAUGAGCGAGAUAGCAGGAGUUUUUGGAUUUUAAGUUAUACGUACAUGUAUGUAUGUUGUGAUGUGAAAGAGGAUGUAGUUACAUGAAUAGAAAAGGGUAUGUUAAGAUGGUUCGGUCAUGUGGAGAGGAUGAAUGAAAGCAGGUUGACUAAGCAGAUAUACAAGGAGAGUGUGGAGGGAAAGGUCGGAGUGGGAAGACCUAGACGAACGUAUCUUGAUCGAAUUAAGGACGUCCUGGUAAAGGGUCAGGUCAAGAGUGCCCGAAACCGCCGAGCUUGCAUGAAGAGAGUUAUGAAUGUGGAUGAAGCGAAGGAAGUGUGCAGAGAUAUAGCAAGUGGAAAGAGGUAGUCUCUGCCUCCGGGAAAAAGCCGUGAUUUUAUGUAUGUAUGUACGUACGGACAUGAAAUAAGGUCGUUAUUUUAUUGAGUAUUCAUUCGGCGGUAAGUCGCGCUAUUCUGCUCAGUCUGAUUUGCAAAGGCGACUUAAAUAAACGUGAUAUGUAUGUAAGGGUGUGGGUACCCUUGAAAUAUUAUUUACUAAAUUUGCAGCGAUUAAUAUAUUUUAUUGUAUCUAAGGUUAUUAUAUAACUUGUUGGCUAGGCCGAAAUGUAUUGUUUUUUUAAUUAAGAAUAUUUUUGUAAAUAUCGGUUAAAUGUUUUUGAUGUGACUAAGAAAAAAAAAAAUUUCUUUUUAAGAAUUAUUAUUAUUGGUUUAUGUAAUAAAUGCCUAAUAUUAAUGUUUAAAAAGUGGUGAAUUUGGUAUAAUUUUAACAAUAAUAAUUAAUUAUUAUAAAUUCUGCCGUACUAGAAACUAUCAUAAUUUAAAUUAUAUCAGUUAAAUAUAGGUAUAAUAUACCUUUUACUAAUAUAAAAAAGUAUGUCUGUCUGUCUGUUCCGCUUUCCCAGCUAAACCGCUGGACCGAUUCGAAUGAAAUUUGGUAUGCAUAUGUCACCAGAAAAUAACAUGAAACCGCAAGAUUAUAAAACUUUUAUUAAAACUCAAUUUUUUAUUUGCAUACCACCAUAAGCAAAACAAGGUGUUAAAUUGAUAUAACAGAUCUUCAUAUUAACCUUUUCGGAUAUUGCAAACAUUUACAUGUAUAGUAGACAUUACUAUAUCAGUAUCCUAUCUGUGGCCUAUCAGUCUUUCCAAGACUGUUGGCUCUGUCUACCCCACAAGGUAUAUAGACGUGACCAUAUGUAUGUAUGUACUAUGUGAAACUAAGUUAUACAUAAAGGUACUAAGUAUUAUAAUAUAAUUUUAUGUAGGUAAGUAGGCAUUUAAAAUCUAACUAGAAUUGUAAUAUGGACGUAAAAUAAUACAGUUCUCAGACUCGUUUAGAAAAGUUCAUAAACUUCUAGGAAAUUUACAAACAUGCGGUUCUUGGUUAUUUUCCGGUGACAUAUACAUAAAUAUGAGAUAUUGUGUUAUCUCUUAAUUAAAUGUAAAUAAAUUUUGAAAGCAGUUGAAUCUGUGUACAUUGGAAAGUAUAUAUAUUGUAUAUUAAUUUGUAAUAUAGUAUUAUGUAUAAAAAAGAUGUAUAGCCGAAAUGGCACGUACAAAAUGAAAUAAACAAGUAUAUUUUAAAGUAA